AAGCCCUGUAAGCAAUCACAGUAUGUUAAGCAUUGAGGUGUAUUUUACGUUGCAUGCGUUAAAUUCGCUGGCCCGGUUGGCCUGUUGUCCAUACCCCUCUUUUUCCCCAGCAACACAGGUUUGCUGCCGAGCAACAUUUCAAACGAGCAGCAACAUUUGGCUUGAAAGAACGGCCUUGCCGCCCACAAAUAGUUAGUACAAAUGCUUAAAUCGGUUGGGUCCACGCGCGUCGUUUGCCGCCUGCCGUUUGCCCGUUUUACGUAUUUUUGAUUCGUCGCGUCCCAUCUUCCGCGCUUUUUCGGGCCCCGUGGUAAAUACAUGAAUUGUUCAAUUGUUUAAACAUUUAAACAGAGCAGGACAGAGAGACCGGAGAGCAGGACCAUCGUCGGCGUCAGCGUCCUAUGUUUCCUUCUUUUUGGCGGCGUUCACGUGUUUUGUUUUUUCCUGCCGAGCCGCGUCUUUGCUUCAGUGUUUUUUUUUCUCUUGAGGAGAAAAGGAAAAGGAGUUGUAGAGAAAGAAAAAAAUAUAACAAGUGGAAAGAAAUAUCCGAAAACCGGAUUCAAUAACAGAAGCAGCAUCCACGAGAGGAGAGCAGGGCA